CCAUCCAUCCAUCCAUCCAUCCAUCCAUCCAUCACAGCCCCGCUGGUCGCACAAAUCGCUGCAGCCCCGAACGCCUCGUUCUCCACUGGCCUCAGAACUCCCCGGCAGGGCAGCCGAGCAGGCCCCGCUCUCAGACAGGGCGGCGGGCAGGGGGACAGAGCCCGGACAGAGCCGGGGACAGAGCCCGGACAGAGCCGGGGACAGAGCCCGGACAGAGCCGGGCCCAGCCGCCGCAGUGCCGUGUGCCCGGCUCGGCUGAGGGGGAGCUGCUGCAGCCGCUGCCGUCCGGACAGGGCCGGGCCGGGCUGUGGGCUCUGCAGAGCACAGGUCCGCUCCCUCGGCCGGACCCAGCUCACGGGGAGAUCACGAGCAAGAGAAGGGAAGGUGCCGGCCCUCACAACCCGGCUGGUGGGCGGCAGAGCCGAGAGAAGCUUUUCCUUCCCUGUUGUUGACAGCGGGACUAAACCAGCCCGAGUUCCUUGUGCAGCACAAACGAACCAUUACAGUGUGCAGAAGCUUUUUCUUUAGGCUGCGAAGUGCUUCCCUAGUGUUCCCCAAGCUCUUAGAAAUUAUUGCCAUGAAUGCUCCAGUGCCUUCCCCCAUUAUCUUUGCAAUCCUGCUUCUUCCUCACAAAAAGGCAAAAAGCACAGCACAUAAGCACUGUACCACUUCAACCACGCUGGGGAGGAAAACGAUACAGGCAAAGAGGUAUCAGCUCAUCUACUGCAGAGAAGCUACUAGCAGGUUUUGCUGCUCUCCAAGUUCGUUCAUCCAGCCUACAGAGGUGGUGUAACUAAUCCAUGAAAAGCUGUUGCAACAUGAACGACACUCAAAAUCAGCACGCACAAAUAUUGUCAUUAAGUUUAUUUGGAAAAAUAAAUGGCCUGUGAUUUCAUGACCA
rnacentral:lncRNA from 1 species